rnacentral:tRNA from 1 species
GAGGGUGUAGCUCAAAUGGUAGAGCACAUGCCUAGCAUGCAUGAGGUUCUGGGUUCAAUCCCCAGUACCUCCA